AAGAAGUCAGGCCACUACAAGUGCCAUAGCUUGAGCAAACUAUGCAGCCUGUAGCUCCACCUGGGAAGGUGUAAAAAAUCUGGGAGGCCACAAACCAUGGAAGCUGUACGCAUGGCGUAGUGGACUAGUGGUUAGAGGAGACCCCUCCCUUGCAAGUCGCAGCAACAAUGGGGGCCCAAGGUGAGAUGAAGCUGUAAUCUCACUGGAAGGACUAGAGGUUAGAGGAGACCCCCCCGAAAUAAAAAACAGCAUAUUGA
rnacentral:lncRNA from 1 species